AUGGCCGUCGUCAGUUCGUACUGUGAAGCAUCCUGUUAAGUCAGGCAACGAGCGAGACCCACGCCAACAGUUGCCAGCAUGUCCUCCGGGAUGGUGGGGACACUGUUGGGACCGCCUCUGCUAAAGAGGAGGAAGGAAUGGGCAACGGUAGGUCAGCAUGCCCCGAAUUAUCCGGGCUACACGCGGGCUACAAUGGUCAGGACAAUGGGUAUCAACACCGAAAGGUGAAGGCAAUCUCCUAAACCUGUCCUUAGUUCGGAUUGUGGGCUGCAACUCGCCCACAUGAAGCUGGAAUCUGUAGUAAUCGCGUCUCAAAAUGGCGCGGUGAAUAUGUCCCUGCUCCUUGCACACAC
rnacentral:rRNA from 1 species